GCAUGAACCACAAUACAUCCUCAGUACAUCCAACCUUGUCUGAUCUUGGCUGCUAAACAGGAUUUAGGCUGGUUAGAAGUCGGAUGGGAGACCACAAGAGAUCUCCAGGGAAUUCCAAGUA
rnacentral:rRNA from 1 species